ensembl:lncRNA
GCCGCACAGGAGGCGGCGGGCCCCGCCGGCCCCGCGCGCAGCCGCUGGGUCCUAAAGCCCUUUUCUCGACGCUUCUGUGGAAAACCUUCACAUCCCUUCAAAAAUCUGCAGCCCCGCGGGACCCGGAAUUGGGAUCAGGAUGCCUUUCCAGCCCGGGCUCUGUUUUCUGGACCUAAAUAACGCCGAAUCCCUCAAAGGAUCAGCGUUUCCGGUCACUUAAAAAAAACAAGCAGAGCCCGCAGAUGCUUUUCAAAGUGCAAGUAUAUCGUCACGCACCCGGAAUGUACCUUUUCAUCCGACCAAUGCCAGGCCCAUUCUCUAAAAGGAUUACUAAUAUCUAUUUAUAGCACCCAGCAGGUCAUCAUGUUCUGGAUCAAGAUACACACACUGUCACAAGUACAGAAGAGGCAGCCACACUCCAUAAACUAUUCAUUUGAUAUUUUAUUUGACACCAUCUUAACUUUUAAAGGAAAAAUUAACUUGUAGCUUAAAAUUAUGUUAGAGCACACUCAAUAUUUAGCAUUAGAUUUUAUUUUUAAGGCAAAGGAUUAUCACAGGUUUUAUAUUAAGUAGACUGUACAUAAACAGGCAGGGGGUGAUAAGCCAAUAAAUAACAUUGCUUUAAACACUAUAGAGUCCAGUUUAUGGCAUAUUAUUUUCUAACAGUACAAAACUAAUACAGAAAAUACAUUUGAAAGAUCACAGUGUUCAGAACAUUGUAUAACAGCAGUUUUAAAGACAGUAAGGUGCAUCUCUAAGCUUCUGACUCAACCCUGCUUCCAGAGAAUUCAUUAUACCAUGCACUGGCUGUAAGCAAAUCCCCCACACGAAGGGGAGGCGACAUCAACUGACCUGUAGCACUUCCCCCGCCAGGAACAACCAAGAACAAAAGCUAAAAUCCGAUGAGCAUUGAUUGGCAAGUUGAUCCUGUUCAGCCAGGCAGCAGCUAACUUGCCCCAGUGACCAUGUCUUUGUGUAUUAAGUGUUUGCCAUUUUGUCCUUGAGAAUGUAUGCAUUCGAGCUUGUGAUUGCUAGUUUCUUUGUCAAAUACCUAAAUGGAUUGUGACUAAAGAUCAAUUGAAUGUCAUGUAUUGCAUUAUACUUUCUUGCUCUGACUGAAAUACCCAUUAUUUUCUUGAAAUAUUAAGUACAGAAUAACAGAGUUCUAGAAAGUGAUUUUUUUGGCAUAAUAAUAUGUAAUAUACCAGAAUACUUGAUAACUUGGUUUUAUUAUAAAAUACAGUACUACAACAUUUUGUGAUAUAGCAAAAUAUCUGACACAAUGUUCUGCUCUAAUUUAGAUGUAACUGCUACAAAUACGUCUUUGAAAGCGCCUCAAAGUACCCCUAAAGGAAUAUAAUAAUUAGCAAUGAGUUGUAGAACCUUUUUUGGCAAAAAGAAAAAAAAAGGCAUUUUUUAAUAAGUCUCUCAUUUUGUGUGCAAGGCUUUCAAAAUUUUAGUUAUAUACAACAUAUAACUGGUGUUGGAUUUAAUGCUAUUGGAAAUUAG